UACGUAGGGUGCGAGCGUUAAUCGGAAUUACUGGGCGUAAAGCGGUGCGCAGGCGGUUCUGGUAAAAGUCAGCUGUGAAAAGCCCCGGGCUUAACCUGGGAAUGGCGGUUGAAACUACAGGACUAGAAUCUGGCAGAGGGGGGUGGAAUUGACCACGUGUAGCAGUGAAAUGCGUAGAGAUGUGGAGGAACACCGAUGGCGAAGGCAGCCCCCCUGGGCUGAGAUUGACGCUCAGGCACGAAAGCGUGGGGAAGCAAACAGGG
rnacentral:rRNA from 1 species